rnacentral:rRNA from 1 species
AUUGAACGCUGGCGGCAUGCCUUACACAUGCAAGUCGAACGGUAACGGGCCUUCGGGUGCCGACGAGUGGCGCACGGGUGAGUAAUACAUCGGAACGUGCCCGAUCGUGGGGGAUAACGAGGCGAAAGCUUUGCUAAUACCGCAUACGAUCUACGGAUGAAAGCAGGUGACCGCAAGGCCUUGCGCGGACGGAGCGGCCGAUGGCAGAUUAGGUAGUUGGUGGGAUAAAAGCUUACCAAGCCGACGAUCUGUAGCUGGUCUGAGAGGAUGAUCAGCCACACUGGGACUGAGACACGGCCCAGACUCCUACGGGAGGCAGCAGUGGGGAAUUUUGGACAAUGGGCGCAAGCCUGAUCCAGCCAUGCCGCGUGCAGGAUGAAGGCCUUCGGGUUGUAAACUGCUUUUGUACGGAACGAAAAGCCUUCUUUUAAUACAGGAGGGUCAUGACGGUACCGGAAGAAUAAGCACCGGCUAACUACGUG